CACCUCACGGAGCACAUGGGGAGUGGGAGCGCAGCAUCCCACCAUACCUACCUUAUGAGUGUUCAAAGGAAGACAACUGGGGCCUUGCCACAAACCGAUUUCAAGUCUGCUCUUUCAGACCCAGGGGCUUGAGAAGCUGUCCCUCUGAGGCUUCCUGGCACCCACCGGGGGGACAUGUACCUCUCUAAAUGGGCGCUGGCGCUUGUUAAAGGAGGAAGAGGAAAGUGAAGAGGGGAACAAAUCCAAACGUCGAAGCCUGGAUAAUCUGAAAUGCUUUGUUAUGCUGAAAAUAAUAAAUAAGGUUCCGAGUGAAGCCUUCAGAAUAAAAGAUUGGUUAGUGUAAUAUCCCUAGUGCAGCUAUCAACGUGGUCAUAAGAACUAUGAACUGCAGCAUGGGAUUUUAGGCGGGGAGUUCCUCUUGCCAGGUUCUAUCAUAUUUAUGGGCUGUGUGAUUUCCAGGGUUCCAAUUGGUCUUUCCUUUAUGGAGGCAAGAAAUAAAACUUUCCUAGWCUCACGGAAACUGCUGGGGCUCCACCACGGGGGAGAAAAGUGGCUUCAAGCCUCCCGCCCCCGUGGCCAGCGCUCCCCACCAGUCCCGGGGGCGGCAGGUGCGUUUCAGGAUGCUGCAACCACGCGGGUCCGUCCGUGUCCAAUAUCCUGACAGCGGACGGGAACGCAGGGCUCAGAAGUAGCCGUGUUUGGGCAGGAAUASCAUCCAAAAAAAGCCCUAAACCCUCCCCCCGCCCCCUAAAAAAAAAAACC